rnacentral:rRNA from 1 species
AAGGGGAGCGAAUCCCAAAAAUAACGUCUCAGUUCGGAUUGUAGUCUGCAACUCGACUACAUGAAGCUGGAAUCGCUAGUAAUCGCGAAUCAGAAUGUCGCGGUGAAUACGUUCCCGGGUCUUGUACACACCGCCCGUCACACCAUGGGAGUUAGUAACGCCCGAAGUCAGUGACCUAACCGAGAGGGAGGAGCUGCCGAAGGCGGGACUGAUAACUGGGGUGAAGUCGUAACAAGGUACC